rnacentral:SRP_RNA from 1 species
GGACUCCUCGCAACAUUAGAUUGUGAAUUCCGUCAGGCCCGGAAGGGAGCAGCGGCAGCAGUGGACAUGUGUGCCGGGGU